GAGAGAGGCAGGCUGGGUCCGCCUGGCAGCCUACGAGAGGAGGCGGGAGCGGGAGAGGAGGGGAGCCGAGGCCCGGAGUGGGGAGGCCGGCAGGAAGGGCUACGAGCCCAGCUCGGACCUUUCUUCAGCCUCCCGGCGGCCGAACGCAGCGCUAGGCUGCUGCGCUGUGAGGAUGCCCUGACUCAGUGCCGGACGCUGUGGCUGGUGGCGCCGCGAGCCUCCGGGCGUCGGAUCCCGGCAUGAGAAACGGCAGAGCUGUGCCGUGCCCUCGCCCAGGAGGCCUGGGCGCUGCGAGCCAGGUGGAGGCGUCGGAGUUCACUAAUUAGACAGGUUUUGUCUCCCACGUUUCAGUAAGACCCGUCUCAGAGUUCUCAGAAUUCCUCUCAGAGGAGAGUAAAGUUAGAACUGCAGGCUGGUUUUCCUGUCAGCGCCCGUACCUCGGGUGCAGAAGGGAACUUAGCGGAGGGUUGUCUGGUGAAAGGCGUUCCAGGCACCGCGGGGCAGGGGCUUCACUUUUCCAAGUUGGAAGAAGCGGGAAGCAGUGGGGUCGGGGCAGCGGCGGUGAGCAGCCUCCUCAGAGAACUGGGCAGUUUCACGCGGGAUCUGCGGCGAGACCACAGGGCACGCCCUCGUCGCGCGCGCCCUCAGAGCCAGGCUGGGACGAGGGGAAACCCUAAGCUGCCCUGAGGAGACCACCUCCUGCUACACUGAAGGAGAAGAAGGUUCGGAGGGCGACCAGAGCGACAGAACCGGGGCUGAAACUCAGCUCGCUGGUCCGCCACCAGGCUUCUUUACCUUCAGCAAGUUUGCAGCCGUGAGGUUACACAAAGUGAGGAAAGAGAACUGCAAGAUUGUUUAAAUCAUUGCUCCAUCUUAACUACAAAGUUCAGAAUGCAUGGAGUGAAAUUUGACCAGCUCAAGAAAAGAAGGCAUGGAAAUAAUUUGUUCUGUGACUUUAAAGUCAUUGCAGUAUUUUAUGUAAAUAAUAAGUCUACAGCACAGCUAAAGAGGGAGCAGCCACCUUACCUCCAUGUUUGGACAAGCAUGAAGAUAAGAACUUCCCUGUGUGCGUGAUGGAAAAAAAUGAUAGAAGGGGCCAAAUUCCCAUCACUAAUACUUGUUGAUAUGUGAGGAAAAAUAAAAUGCUAUUACAAAGUUAAGCUACA
rnacentral:lncRNA from 1 species